rnacentral:sRNA from 1 species
UAUGUUGUAGAUUCUU